AUUGAACGCUGGCGGCAGGCCUAACACAUGCAAGUCGAGCGAGCGGCGGACGGGUGAGUAAUGUAUGGGGACUGCCCGCUAGAGGGGGAUAACCACUGGAAACGGUAGCUAAUACCGCAUACUCUCGGGUAACCCCUAUGGGAUUAGCUAGUAGGUGAGGUAAUGGCCCACCAAGGAGACGAUCCCUAGCUGGUCUGAGCGGGUGAUCAGCCACACUGGGACUGAGACACGGCCCAGACGCCUACGGAGGCAGCAGUGGGGAAUAUUGGACAAUGGGGGAAACCCUGAUCCAGCCAUCCCGCGUGUAUGAUGAAGGCCUUCGGGUUGUAAAGUACUUUUGGCAGGGAAGCGGUAUCUGCAGAAUAAGCACCGGCUAACUACGUGCCAGCCGCCGCGGUAAUAC
rnacentral:rRNA from 1 species